CAGUAGCCGCGGUAAUACGAAGGGGGCUAGCGUUGUUCAGAUUUACUGGGCGUAAAGCGCACGUAGGCGGAUCCUUAAGUCAGAGGUGAAAUCCCAAGGCUCAACCUUGGAACUGCCUUUGAUACUGGGGAUCUCGAGUUCGGGAGAGGUGAGUGGAACUGCGAGUGUAGAGGUGAAAUUCGUAGAUAUUCGCAAGAACACCAGUGGCGAAGGCGGCUCACUGGCCCGAUACUGACGCUGAGGUGCGAAAGCGUGGGGAGCAAACAGGAUUAGAUACCCCUGUAGUCCCUGUCUCUUAUAC
rnacentral:rRNA from 1 species